ACUUAAAUUGAAGAGUUUGAUCAUGGCUCAGAUUGAACGCUGGCGGCAGGCCUAACACAUGCAAGUCGAGCGGUAGCACAGAGAGCUUGCUCUCGGGUGACGAGCGGCGGACGGGUGAGUAAUGUCUGGGAAACUGCCUGAUGGAGGGGGAUAACUACUGGAAACGGUAGCUAAUACCGCAUAAUGUCGCAAGACCAAAGUGGGGGACCUUCGGGCCUCAUGCCAUCAGAUGUGCCCAGAUGGGAUUAGCUAGUAGGUGGGGUAACGGCUCACCUAGGCGACGAUCCCUAGCUGGUCUGAGAGGAUGACCAGCCACACUGGAACUGAGACACGGUCCAGACUCCUACGGGAGGCAGCAGUGGGGAAUAUUGCACAAUGGGCGCAAGCCUGAUGCAGCCAUGCCGCGUGUGUG
rnacentral:rRNA from 1 species